AGAUUGAACGCUGGCGGAAUGCUUUACACAUGCAAGUCGAACGGCAGCACGGGACUCAGGCAACUGAGCCCUGGUGGCGAGUGGCGAACGGGUGAGUAACAUAUCGGAACGUACCCAGUCGUGGGGGAUAACUCUCCGAAAGGAGAGCUAAUACCGCAUACGUCCUGAGGGAGAAAGCGGGGGACCUAAGGGUAACUGAGGGCCUCGCGCGAUUGGAGCGGCCGAUAUCGGAUUAGCUAGUUGGUGAGGUAAAGGCUCACCAAGGCGACGAUCCGUAGCGGGUCUGAGAGGACGACCCGCCACACUGGAACUGAGACACGGUCCAGACUCCGUACGGGAGGCAGCAGUGGGAAUUUUGGACAAGUGGGGACAACCGUGAUCCAGCCAUUCCGCGUGAGUAGAAGGAAGGUCCGUUCGGUUAGUAAAGUCUAC
rnacentral:rRNA from 1 species